rnacentral:lncRNA from 1 species
AUUUAUUUAUAUAUAUAUAUUUUUAAAAAAAUAUUUAAUAUAUUUUUUAAAACUUCUAAAAUAUUUUAUAUAUUUCUUUUUUUUAUUUCAAAUAUAUUCGUCGUAUAUUUUUUCGUUAUUUAAAAAUAAUUUCGCUAUUAGUACUCGUAAGUCAUCUCGAAUUAAAUCUGAAUUAAAUUUUUAUUAGAAAUUAAAAAAAUAAGAAUAUCUUUUUUGUCCCUAACUUAAGGAUAAAUAUGAAAAUUUGAUGUUGAUAAAAAAAUAUAUUUAAAAAGAUAAAAUAUCAAAAUACUUUUUCUGGCCUCUAAUGUAAGAGCAAAUACGAAAAGUUAGGAACAGUAUAAAGGCAUUUUUGAAAGACAAAAUAAUAAUUUUUCAGAUAACGGUGGUCCCUAACAGUUUACUUACAGAAUUUAACUCUAGAGUCAUAUCUAAAAUAACUUGAAACCUUAAAAGGGAGGGUAUUUUUAAUAUUAGCUUUUUAGCAUGGAUAAAUAAAGAAGUCAAAAUUUUUUCAAGCGUAUAUAAGCAAUCGUCUUUCUCUUUAUUGAGAAAAUAUAACAGGUUAUCCUCUUUAUUCAUUUUUA